rnacentral:rRNA from 1 species
GGCGGCAGGCCUAACACAUGCAAGUCGAGCGGCAGCGCGUCCGACCACCCUCGGGUGGUCGGAUGGCGGCGAGCGGCGGACGGGUGAGGAAUGCAUCGGAAUCUGCCUCGUUGUGGGGGAUAACGUAGGGAAACUUACGCUAAUACCGCAUACGACCUACGGGUGAAAGUGGGGGACCUUCGGGCCUCACGCGAUGAGAUGAGCCGAUGCCGGAUUAGCUAGUUGGCGGGGUAAAGGCCCACCAAGGCGACGAUCCGUAGCUGGUCUGAGAGGAUGAUCAGCCACACUGGAACUGAGACACGGUCCAGACUCCUACGGGAGGCAGCAGUGGGGAAUAUUGGACAAUGGGGGCAACCCUGAUCCAGCCAUGCCGCGUGUGUGAAGAAGGCCUUCCGGUUGUAAAGCACUUUUGUUGGGGAAGAAACCGGCCGGGUUAAUACCCUGGUUGAAUGACGGUACCCAAAGAAUAAGCACCGGCUAACUUCGUGCCAGCAGCCGCGGUAAUACGAAGGGUGCAAGCGUUACUCGG